AUUCAUUAUUAUGGAUAAGCGUCGGUUGUUGGAAGCAGAUGCGCGGCACGUUCGCACAAUGAACGUUAAAAAAUUUGAAUCUCGCCAGUAAAAGUUACGGGCGCCAUUCCGCAUCGAAUCGCGCGCGCAACUUUAAAUUGGCGAUUCAGAAAUGGAAAUGCUGCGCAGACACGAUGCGAGCCGCGUGCGUCGCCGAGAGACAGGUAUAACAAUUUUCCUUUUUACAACAGAUGAACCCAAGUUGAGAUUGCCGGGAAAGAUGCGCGAAGGUUUCUCCUGCGUUCAACAAUAAAAUAAAUAAUCAGUUUUCUCUGGAAAGGCGCAUACACUUAUCUACUGUUAUAUCUUUACAGUCUGCCGGGGAGGUUGGGUCGUGCGUAAACCCGAAUAAAUCAGGGAAGUAGUGCUCGUGGCGAACGCACGAGCGCCGGUUAAUCGCCGGUUUUCCUCGACUUGGAAAGUUCCGGGAGCCGGUAACGACGACGCGCCCGUAAGACGAAAGAAUCCGUGGCACUCGCGUGGAAUUCAUCCGAGUCCGCGUUGCUACGGGGCCACCUGUUGGAUUCUCGUUGCCGUCGUGGCUGACCGCUCGGCGCUCACGUGUUUACGUUCGUCUGUCCACGCUAGAAAGUGUCUGGCACGCUCGCAGCACCGCGACGUACGCUGAUGCUGAAUAUCGACGAUCCGUGAUCGACGCUCUUGAAAAAGCCGAAUCAUUAGCGUACUGUUAUUAUCGUGUAGCAUACAAGUGUGCCAGAACACCACGUGACAUUCUUUAGCAAUGUAUCAUAUUUUGCUACAUUCCACUGGCGUCUUCUCGAGUGAUUAAUCUUUCUUAAAAGGCAAAUACAAGGGAUUGGAUGAAAAAUGGAAACAUCAGGCGAUACGAGAAUCGGCUUAUCAAUUUCUGUAAUUUCGCUCGAUGCCUCCAUUUUUUGUGUCCAUCCUCAUUGCAGGUAACGAAAUUUUGAUUUUAAUUUUUUUAAAACUGAAUAUGACUGGAUUUAUGGUACUGGGCAAAGAUAAAGCGAAGCCGCAAUAAGCGCUGGUUUUCCCGGAAAGCUCGCACCACCUGCAUACAAUUUUAUUAUUAAUCAGAAUUGCAUACUUUCGCAAAUUAAGUGUUUGUAACGGCUUGUGAAAUAAGUUUGAUUUAUAUUUAUUACGUUCCAUAGCUGUUUUUCUGUGUCCGAAGUACACACCGAGAUCUAGUGGCACGAAAUGCGGUUACCGUGUUUUACUUUUUUUUACGUCUUACAUGCACAGCUUCGACAGCAGCGUAAAGUAUAAGCAGGUGCGCUCCAUUGAAUGCACGUGCGUCAUCGUGCCGCAAUUAGUUGUUUCUCCGCGCGAGAAGUUUCGCCGUGCUCUUUUAGCCGUUUCCAUGAUCGAUGUAUUGCGGCAAAGGUAGCCGGAAUGGAAAUUAGAAAAUAUAGAGUACGACACGCAGAAGAAAUACGCUGAGGUUUCUCUCCGCCUGUAGGUACUUGCGAUGAAAAUUAGUCAUGCAUUAUAGAUCCUCGAUAUUCGCGUCAACGUUAAAUUUAGCACGCGGAUUUCAAAGUCCUCCAUCCGUUCGGCGUACGACUCAUCCUUAUGCAAUUACCAUACAAUAAUCCGUCACGUGACACAAGAUCAAUAGCGGCCUGCAAAAUGCAGAUCUCAUCUGCCAAUAUGCCGUGCUUUAUUUUACACUUGUACGACUUUUGCAGUCUUCAAUAUUUUACUGUUUGCUUUUUUAUGCGAUUCACUUAAGGACGUUCAUCGGUUGUAAUCGUAGCCAAAAGUUUUGCGCACGUUCGGCUCUCUUUCCACGUAUAGCGCGGCCCUCUCCUUACUUCAUGACGUUUAGCGUAGACUGUACACUUUUCCAUGGCGACUCUCCUUCCACAUAGCGACAUGCUUCGAAAUACUGUCAGAUGAAGAACUUUGAAUUAUAAUUACGCAUAAAGGAUACCACUACGUAUCUCCAUCUUGUAAUAUGUCAUUCCUAACAUCGUCAUGAAUCAUAUAUUAACUUUUUAACAAAAUACAUAAACAAUUUCUGCCGUAAGAAAUUAAAAUAUCUCUCUAGAACACGCCUCGCCUAUACCUUACAUGUUAAAAUUCGUAACUUUGACAUUGAAUAUCUCGACUUUGGUACGGGCACGGUUCUUAUAACUGAGCAGGUAUAUGAAUAACACUAUUAGUAUAUGGUCCAAGUUUCAAGCAAAUAUAUAGAAAAUCGAUUAGCCGAUGAACGUCCUUAAAUGCUCGUUUGUACGGUGAUGUUUACAGGAGAUUGCUCGCGCUCUCGGAAAUCAGGUUUCACAGAUGCACCUCGUAAUCGAUUUCGCCGUGAUUUACGCUGUGGUGAACGCGAUUAGACGUCACGGCGAUAGAAACGCGCGUGCCGGACCAAGUAUUUACGUGCGGAUUAUCGAGUGACGUUAACGAUGAGAGACGUGACUUAGGAUCGACCAUCAAAUUCAUCGCUCGCAGAAAGAUCGCGCCAAACGCAACGUCCCGAUACCGAACAAGAGUUGUUUUCUCAUCGGUCCCCUCGAUCCGCUCGGUUCUCUCUCUGCGAUGACGCGUCUCGUCGCGCGCGUCAGCUGACUAGUAAAACGAGAAGAAAUCGUCAUUCUUUUUCCCCGUGCGGGGAGAGUGCGCGAUUAUCUUUCGCGCGCGUGGAUUUCUCAUCGCAUCGUGUCGCCUUUCUUUAUUAUCAGUUAUGCGAAAAGGUGUUACUGCGAUCGGUAGAUAAGACAUUAUGAUAAUUUGAACGUCAAUCACGCAAGUCCUUGUAAAAAAGUCGCGAAACAGUUUUCGAGUAUCAGGUUGAAAUGUUUCAUUGAGACGUUAUUGAAAUGUUAUUGAAUGUUGGAUAAUGAACUGUUGGAUAUAUCUAUGAUAGGUAUAUCAAUAUCUCAAUACAUAUAUAGUUGUUAAGAUAGGAUUUCAAUAUCUGUUAACUGAAUUAGUACAAAACUUUACUGCGCAUUCUAAUCUAAAAAAAGGUAGAUUUAUCACAAUUCACCAAAGAUACCGUGUAGUUCGAAGCCAAGGCUGUACGCGUGAUAAAAAUUCCGACAAAUCGCAUUGUACACGUUUCAAGUACGUCGUUACCCGUCCAUCAUUCAUAAGUUGGCACUUUUCAUAUCGUUUUGCAAAUACUUAUCUUUAACGCCGUGUCUAUUUUUGUUGCAUUGAUUUAUACUGUAAUCCUAAGAAGUUGAAAGAUUCAGUCUUCGACGGCAUUAUAGGAGUCACAUCAUUAUCGAAAUCAGAUAAUAUUAUUCGGGGCUCUCUCGUGACUUCAAUUAAUUCCACUGAAGCUGAUUUAGCUAGAGACCAGAAGGUUAAUUGGCGUAAAUUAUCGCUCUGCAAAUAAUCUGUCAGUAUUCGCAUCGUGGCACCAUUGUCGGCGCUUCACUCGUAUCGUUAUCGGCGACGAUAUUUUAGCGUUUGCUCGAGCAAACGCUUAUCGCGCUUAUGUGAAUUCAAGCAAACGCUACCUGAGACUUAAUAAUGCCGAUACUGUGGUUUUUCUUUCGGGAACAUCUGCAGGUAUUUGCUCGGAACUAUCAAGGCAAAAGAAACGCAAAAGACUGACGUGUAUGAAACAUGAAAGCAGCGUCCACAUCUUUUUCCUCCGAAGUGCAAGUUGCUUUUGUCACGGUCUUCUUUCCUCGUUUAAAGAGUAAAAAAAUUCAUAGAUACGUCGCUGGUGGAGUCUACCGAGUCUAUCGAAUCUAGAAAUCUAGCGAGUCGAGGUCUUGGAAAUGAGAAUAAUGAAUUAUUUUCUGAUUCGGAGAUAGAAGGUCGAAUCGAUCAAGGACGUAUGAAACGCUCGCUAUACAUGGCCAUAUUUCUUGCCUUUAUUUCUAGGCUACUAAAUUACCCUCUCCUCUCGCCGUCUUCUACCCGCGUUAAACGCACCAGCAAAUUAUCGACGCAUGAGCUAUCACAGAUCGUGACGAAUGUUAAUGAGGCGAGAUUACAAUGUUGAUUAAUGUCGUAACGUCGUUUCGUGUGCCGUGAUUCGCACGUUCGUAGAAUCGCAGAGCUAACCGCGACGCGACUCUGCGAUUGUCACGUCGCUUUUAAUCAAUUGCAAAUGGUGAUAUCGUGCACGUAUGCGUUCUCGGUGUUGUAAGAGCGCGUGUUUAUUACGUGAAAGGAAUGUGAAUAACCGCUAUCACGUUCUAAAAUAUGAGACGGUCUCUCGAUCGACGGCAUGCGGGCUACUGGCCCAUUCCAGCGCGUUUAGAAACUUUACUUUCAUGCUUUUUAUGUUUUUUAAUCGAUAUUAACAUUAUAAUUAUAAUUAUCAAGUUCAUCAACAAGAAAUCGUAUCAUCGUAACUUGGAUUAUUAGGGUAAGGUUGCCUUCAUUGAACCACUAAGGUAUUUCGAAAACUAAAACGACUGUCGGCAAAAGAAAGAGAUAGAACGCAAACGCACGCGUCCCUCCGCUAUCCCUCUCACGCUCACAAUCAGUUGCAUGGCGGCCGCUACUGCAGACUGACACGUGGCAGUAGGUUUUAAAUACCAAACAAAAUAAAAAUUAUGAAAUAACCACUCAGAAUGGCAAAUUUGUCUCAAAAUGAAAUCGAUUCACAUCGAAUACGGAAAGAGCGUGGUAAUUACUACACAUGGAACGAAACUAGUAUGAAGCUUGUCAUAGAAGCUUUGCGGAAAAAAGAGAUCGGUUUAAAUGCAGCCAGCAGAAUAUAUUCUGUACCGAAAACAACACUAAUAAUUAGUUUCUUUUAUUGGAUCGAUGAUUCAAUGAAUGACGCCAAGUGGACCAAAAAAGGUGCCAGGGUCCAGUUAUGGAAACCUUUAAUCUCUUUAUUUUUUAUCAUUUUCUUUUUUAAAUGUUGAUUGAUAGAUGCUGAGACUUGUUGAUUGUAAAGCUUAAUAAAUGAUUUCAAAUCACAUUCUUAGUUUCACUUUAUUACUUAUAAUUUCAAAUUAGUAGACAUUCAAAAAAAAGUGGUCCAAUAGUGGCAACCUUACUCUAUAUCGGAGAACUUGCAGUGUUAUUUGUCUUUUUGUCUUGCUAAACAAAAACUAUGUGUCCUUCAUUUUUGAGAACUGAUAAUCUUUCAAAUCUUUGUAACGUAUAGUCAUUUUUUAGAUAUUAUUUUAUACGCUACUUUUGUGAUAUUUUUGUAUGCAUUUUUAAAGGAGCUGGUAGCACCUUGUCACGUGCUUAAAACGCUAUUUUCAGUCGGCAUUGUAUCGCUCAUCAUAAAGGUAUUUACAAAUGUAACCUCACCAUGGAGAUGAAUGAAAUAUGAUUGAAUCAUGCUGAAUAAGCGGAAGCUUUACAGAUUCGCACGUGCUGACGGAUGUACUGUCGAGCUGUGCGUGAGCAUAAAAAUUAUCAUUUGAUACUUCCUGCUUCCGAUCGCACGUGAUAAUCGACCUUUCAAAAGUGCUGCAAGUGCUGGGCGCACUAUCGCCGCAGUUUUUUUCUUCUAAACUUUCAUUUUUUCCAGAAAGCCUUGACCAUUCUAUGCACUUAUAUACACCUAUAUCAUUAUCUUCGAUAAAUUAAUCUUGAUAAAUGCAUCUGUGAUAAAUUAAUUUUUUUAUCAUUAUACAGAUAACGCGAGAGCAUUUAUCGAACUGCUUGUCAUCCGCGAGUCAUUAUCAGCGAAGAAUACGAGAGUCGGACGUUAAGAUGUAAUAGACGUCAACGACGAGCGGGUAUUCUUCGCGUGUUUGCACAUUCUCUGCAUCCUAGGUGACUACAUAGUAGACAUAAUUAGAUCAUCGUCGUAUUCGAAGUCGAAGUUUCAAAAAGAUCAGAAUCAGCAUUUGGUAAAACGCUAUUUUAAAAUCCACGUCGUGUGAGUCAGGGGAGUGGUGCAGGGACGGGGACGAAAGUGACGACGUGUGCGUUAUUAAUACCCAGCUUAUAUACGCGCGUUAUUGUCCAGACAAUAAUUCAUUUAUGGAGACGCAGACAGUCGCGAACCGCAGUUUAGCCACUUCGUUUGACCCUUGAACAUCAACCGGGAAGAUUUCGUCGCGGCGGGAAUUGGCGAGAGAAUUCGCAGUAAGAAACGAGCAAUGAGAAGCGUGAUAAGCGCGACAGAGUGCUGCAACGUUGGAUUUAAAUAAUAAUAUUUAAACUCACAACGAAUUCUGUGAUCUUAAUCUUCAGAACUGAAAGGACUAUGGAGACCAGAAUGGCGAACGGGAAGGUAAUCUCGGUAGCUCGCGGUCUCAUGCGAAAAUUCUCUCGUCUCGAUACGCAGUAUGAUAACGUAUGCAGAACUGCGCUCAAGGAGGAAAAGAAUCACUCGAAUGGAACGAAUCCGCAGUAGUUAUAACGUGUGUUAUCGUGCCAUGCGGUAGAGAAUGAGUCAUUUCAACUGCCGGAGAGCUGCUGGCGUACGAAAAGUCGUAACUGGCAAGACCCACUCGUUCUCGCGGUUUUCUCGCGGAAUAAAUUAGCUAGUGUGUUGCGCGACUGACUCGAUCAUUCCUACGAAUAAAUAUCGAAUAAAUAUCGAAAGAUUAUUGAAAGCCCGAUCUAUUAAUUACGAUCUCCCAUGCAUCCGCCGAGCCGUGUCGUAAAUCAUGAUAAGCUUCCAGGUUU
rnacentral:lncRNA from 1 species